rnacentral:rRNA from 1 species
CAGCCGCCGCGGGAAUAUGAAGGCCCCGAGCGUUGUUCGGAAUCACUGGGCGUAAAGGGAGCGUAGGCGGCGUGGUAAGUCAGAUGUGAAAUCCCGGGGCUCAACCCCGGAACUGCAUCCGAUACUGCCGUGCUAGAGGAUUGGAGAGGUAGCUGGAAUUCUUGGUGUAGCAGUGAAAUGCGUGGAGAUCAAGAGGAACACUCGUGGCGAAAGCGAGCUACUGGACAACAUCUGACGCUGAGGCUCGAAGGCCAGGGUAGCGAAAGGGAUUAGAUACCCCAGUAGUCCCUGUCUCUUAUAA